AUUGAACGCUGGCGGAAUGCUUUACACAUGCAAGUCGAACGGCAGCACGGACUUCGGUCUGGUGGCGAGUGGCGAACGGGUGAGUAACAUAUCGGAACGUAUCCAAUAAUGGGGGAUAACGAGUCGAAAGAUUCGCUAAUACCGCAUACGCCCUACGGGGGAAAGCUGGGGACCUUUGGGCCUGGCGUUAAUGGAGCGGCCGAUAUCUGAUUAGCUAGUUGGUGAGGUAAAGGCUCACCAAGGCGACGAUCAGUAGCUGGUCUGGGAGGACGACCAGCCACACUGGAACUGAGACACGGUCCAGACUCCUACGGGAGGCAGCAGUGGGGAAUUUUGGACAAUGGGCGCAAGCCUGAUCCAGCCAUUCCGCGUGAGUGAAGAAGGCCUUCGGGUUGUAAAGCUCUUUCGCAAGGGAAGAAAACUUAGCCACUAACAUUGGUUGAGGUUGACGGUACCUUGAUAAGAAGCACCGGCUAACUACGUGCCAGCAGCCGCAGUAACAC
rnacentral:rRNA from 1 species